UGCGUAGGCGGGUCUUUAAGUCAGGGGUGAAAUCCUGGAGCUUAACUCCAGAACUGCCUUUGAUACUGAAGAUCUUGAGUUCGGGAGAGGUGAGUGGAACUGCGAGUGUAGAGGUGAAAUUCGUAGAUGUUCGCAAGAACACCAGUGGCGAAGGCGGCUCACUGGCCCGAUACUGACGCUGAGGCACGAAAGCGUGGGAGCAAACA
rnacentral:rRNA from 1 species